UACAGAGGGGGCAAGCGUUGUUCGGAAUUACUGGGCGUAAAGGCGCGUAGGCGGCCUGUUAAGUCGAACGUGAAAUCCCCGGGCUCAACCCGGGAACUGCGUCCGAUACUGGCAGGCUUGAAUUCGGGAGAGGGAUGCGGAAUUCCAGGUGUAGCGGUGAAAUGCGUAGAUAUCUGGAGGAACACCGGUGGCGAAGGCGGCAUCCUGGACCGAUACUGACGCUGAGGAGCGAAAGCCAGGGGAGCAAACGGG
rnacentral:rRNA from 1 species